GUCGAGCGGACGGAUGGGAGCUUGCUCCCUGAAGUCAGCGGCGGACGGGUGAGUAACACGUGGGCAACCUGCCUGUAAGACUGGGAUAACUUCGGGAAACCGGAGCUAAUACCGGAUAAUGCAUAACCUCUCAUGAGGUUAUGCUGAAAGAUGGUUUCGGCUAUCACUUACAGAUGGGCCCGCGGCGCAUUAGCUAGUUGGUGAGGUAACGGCUCACCAAGGCAACGAUGCGUAGCCGACCUGAGAGGGUGAUCGGCCACACUGGGACUGAGACACGGCCCAGACUCCUACGGGAGGCAGCAGUAGGGAAUCUUCCGCAAUGGACGAAAGUCUGACGGAGCAACGCCGCGUGAGUGAUGAAGGUUUUCGGAUCGUAAAACUCUGUUGUUAGGGAAGAACAAGUGCCGGAGUAACUGCCGGCACCUUGACGGUACCUAACCAGAAAGCCACGGCUAACUACGUGCCAGCAGCCGCGGUAAUACGUAGGUGGCAAGCGUUGUCCGGAAUUAUUGGGCGUAAAGCGCGCGCAGGCGGUCUCUUAAGUCUGAUGUGAAAGCCCACGGCUCAACCGUGGAGGGUCAUUGGAAACUGGGGGACU
rnacentral:rRNA from 1 species